UUCCUGCUGGGUGAGGUCACAUCGUGCAGUAACGCACAUUUCUGUUUCCAGGGGCUUAGUGAUGUGGAUAGCGCCCCUUUGGAAGUCCACCCGAAGAAAGAGCAUCCAUGAAGGCCAGCCUCCAGGCUCCUUGAUUUCUCAGGGCUCUCGUGUCCACAGAAUUAGCCAUGUUGCCGGAUUGUUUUCUUCUAGCUUGGUUCUUGGGAAGGCCUUAUUUUUUCUAGCCUGGUUCUUGGGAAAGCCAGUCAUCUGUUCAAGUCAUUUGCCUGAUUUGUAUUGCUGGGUUCAUAGAGAUUUUACUGAAUUUUUAUUUGCCAAAUCGCAAGCCACUGUUGUGUAUGCAUGUAUACGUCCCUGCGCUCCGAGCGCGAUGCCCCCGGCCACACUGCGCCCCAGCAAACACACUGGGAAACUACCGUCAGGACGAUCCGGAUUCCAGAACAGACUGAUCGUUUCUUGUUCCCGACACCUCGCCAAGUACAAAACGCGUCUGCGUCCAUCAGCACCGGAGCAGACCAUGGCACAGACCCCCAGGGAACCCGCAUCCCACCUGGUCCCGGCUUCCAGAGCUGUUUAUACUGGUCUGGGCUGGGGGGGCUGGGGGUGGACGACAGGGGAAUCUGGAGGCUCUGGGGUGGAUCCUAACAGUAAUAAUAACAAGUAUUAUUAUUACUACUUUAUUGUUAUAACAGUAAUAGGUAUAAUAAUACUUAUAUAUUAAACAUAUAUUUAUAUUAUAUAGAUAAUAUAUAAAAUAUAAUUUAUAACAUUACAUAUUAAUAUUACACUUAUGUAUUUAUAUUCUAUUUAUGUUAUAUAAGUAACAUAAUCUAUAACAUCUAUAAUAUUGCAUAAUAUAUUUGUUAUUAUAUAAAUAAUACAUUAUCAGAACAUAUACUCUAUAAUAUAUUAUACAUAAUAUAAAAGAUAUAAUAUUACUUAUUAUUAUUAUACUUAUUACUUGUUAAGAUGAAUCGCUCUAUCAAGGUAGUGCAAAGGAACAACACACACUUGGGGAUGCCCUUUUAUUGGCUGGACACCAGGCUGGGACAUGGGAAGAGAGAAAAGAAAUUCUCAGUCCUCACAUUCUAAAAACCUUAGGUAUGGUGAAAGACAAAAUGGAGAAAUACUGCUUUGGGACCUAUUUAUAUGCCGUCCCCUUUCUGUUCCUCUGUGCCAAUACACUAGCUAAAGAAGUGACUCCCCAAAUCUUUGGGUUCUUGGGUAGAGGGAUGCAUUUCGAUGAAAUGUGAAGAUGGUCAAAAGGAAGGAAAAUGAUGUACUACUAUAUUGGGCAGUUCAAAGUCUGCAUGAUGUACGCCAGCAUGUGUGACAGGGAAUUUUAUAGGUCACCUUGGCUAGGCCGUGGUGCGGUGCCCAGUUGUUUAAUCAAACACCAGUCUAGAUGCUGUGAAGGUGUUUAGUAGAUGUGAUGAAGGUGUAAAUCAUAGACUUUGAGUGAAGCAUAUUAUCCUCUGUAAUGUGGCUGGGCCUCAUCCAAGCAUCUGAAGGUUUGAGAGCAAAGACUGGGGUUUCCUGAUGAAGAAGGAAUUCUCUUCAAAGAUGGUAAAUAGAAGAUCUGCCUAGGUCUCCAGCUUGCUGCCUCACUGAAGUUGAACUCUUACCUGAAUGUUGUCUGUCAGCCUGCCCGACAGACUUUAAAUUUGCCAGCUCCCACAAGUGUGAGCCAAUUCCUUAAAAUCUCACUCUCAGACUCCUAACUCUGGGAAACGAACUAGGGGGUGGUGGAAGGGGAGGUGGGCGGGGGGUGGGGGUGACUGGGUGACGGGCACUUGAUGGGAUGAGCACUGGGUGUUAUUCUAUAUGUUGGCAAAUUGAACACCAAUAAAAAAUAAAU
rnacentral:lncRNA from 1 species